rnacentral:rRNA from 1 species
UACGUAGGGUGCGAGCGUUGUCCGGAAUUAUUGGGCGUAAAGAGCUUGUAGGCGGUUUGUCGCGUCUGCUGUGAAAAUCCGGGGCUCAACCCCGGACCUGCAGUGGGUACGGGCAGACUAGAGUGUGGUAGGGGAGACUGGAAUUCCUGGUGUAGCGGUGAAAUGCGCAGAUAUCAGGAGGAACACCGAUGGCGAAGGCAGGUCUCUGGGCCAUAACUGACGCUGAGAAGCGAAAGCGUGGGGAGCGAACAGG